AUUGAACGCUGGCGGCAGGCUUAACACCUGCAAGUCGAGCGAGCGGCGGACGGGUGAGUAAUGUCUGGGAAACUGCCUGAUGGAGGGGGAUAACUACUGGAAACGGUAGCUAAUACUGCAUACCAUCAGAUGUGCCCAGAUGGGCUUGGCUAGUAGGUGGGGUAAUGGCUCAACUAGGCGACGAUCCCUAGCUGGUCUGAGAGGAUGACCAUCCACACUGGAACUGGGACACGGUCCAGGCUCCUACGGGAGGCAGCAGUGGGGAAUAUUGCACACUGUGCGCAAGCCGGAUGCGGCCAGGCCGCGUGUGUGAAGAAGGCCUUCGGGUUGUAAAGCACUUUCAGCGAGGAGGCGUUACUCGCAGAAGAAGCACCGGCUAACUCCGUGCCAGCAGCCGCGGUAAUAC
rnacentral:rRNA from 1 species